rnacentral:lncRNA from 1 species
AGGGGGGGCACCUCCAUUCUGGGGAUUUCUAUUUGAACAGAGGCUUUGGCCUUAAAACCCAGGAACUUUUUUAUUACAAUCGUAGGAAGUAAAGCCUUGUCUCCCUCCCUCUUCUCUGCCUCUUACCUCGUCCUGCCUCUCCCCCCCUCGUGCCCCUCCCCCAGCCCUAACCCUGCCUUCCUUGCCCCUCCAGGGGCUGUGAGUGCCUGGGUUUCUUAUACCCCAUAAGGUUGCAGCAGAGGCAGGAGGGACAAAUUUUAUAAACCAAAAAUUCUGUGGGGGGUGGUGGGGUGGGGGGCAGAGGAAGGUGAGGGGUGCCGCCUAUGGGCCACAAAUCUCUACAAGUGCCUGUUCCCUACACCACCCCAGUACUAGUCCAGUCCCUUCACACCCACUCCCAGCUGCUCCUAGGUCUGGCCCAUGGGCAGGUGGGUCAAGGGACAGGAAGGGGGGGUCCCUCAAAACCAAACUGGAAGCCCCUCUCUGCCUCCCAGCUGGGGCCCCAGGGGUGGGCUGGAGGGUUUUGGUCAAGCCUUAUUCUGUAUUGGGAAUGGAGGGUGGGGUGGGACAUGAGGGGGCUGCUGGAGAAUGUAUUCAAAACAAUAAAACUUUGGACCUUUG